rnacentral:lncRNA from 1 species
AUUUUCUGGCGUGUUGUUCUGAGACUCAAGGACUGCUGAAAUUUUUAAGGAGAUAUGGGACUUACCUGGAACAAGAAAUCCACCCAGAAUGGCAUUGGAAUUCAAUUGUUUGAGGGCAUAUUGAAGAGAUACAGCAUGGGAACACGCAGAUGUAAUGAUGCCUGCUUAGCAGUGAGGGUUUGGUCAGGGGGGAUAUGGGAGCAGGGAAAUCUGGAUGAGCCUGGACACUGCUCCUCUCAGCAAAUCCCUCUCUGCCCCCAGGUACAGGUGGCAGCAUGACCUCCCAGGACAUCUGCAGCUCCCCAGGUACUCGUGAGUCCUUCCCUUCCAGAGCCAGGGCACUUGGAAGCCCAACCACUGUGAGCUCUGCCUUAAGGCAGCCCUUCACUGCUGUGUCUCCUGCAGGGGAUCUUCCAGCUCCUGCUCUCCAAAUGAACUCAACUUCUGCUCAGCCAGGUACCAGAGUUGUGCUCCAGUGUAUUCUCGCUGUGGUGUCACAUGUAAGACGAAUCAUCUUCUGCAAGGAUGGGAUGGAGGCGUACAGCCACAAAGCCCAGCAAAGGCAGCUGAGCUACACCCUGGUCCAGAACAUCACGUCAAGAAGUGCAGGAAGAUAUACAUGUGGGUACCAGGCGUUGAAUGAGAAGAAACAUAUGAGUUCUGCCCUCAGUGCUCUCCACAUCCUGGAUGUCCAUGGUGCAGCUGCUGGCGUGACCACCCAGGACAUCGGCAGCUCCCCAGGCAAUGUGGUGAGUUCCCCAGCAAGUCCACCACCCCCAGGAAGCAAGACACGAGCUCAGGGUCUGCUCAGCAUCUGGGAUUGUCCCAGCAAAGAGCUCCAGAAACUCACAGCAUGUUCAUGUCUCCCACAGGCAGCAGCCCCUCACACAAGGCCCAGCUCCCUUCCAGAGGUGAGACAUUGCUCAUCAGCCCUUCCCAGCACAGCCGUCCUCCAAGGCUUGCCUUGGCCACACUGUGUUCCUCCUCUCUCCCAGGGUCAGCCAUGCCCCUGGAGGUCUGGAUCCUGCACUCUGCUCUCAGCCUGCUCCUGCUGCUGUCUGCUCCCAUCAUCACCCUCCUCCUGGAGAGAUGCAGCCACGGUGCCAACGAGGCCAGGCAGCCUGGAGACGUCCCUGUCCCCAUGGAGCUCUUAUGCCCUCCUGGGCUCCAUGUUAUCCAGAGCCUGCUCCACAAGACCAGAGCGUGACCCCCUCAUAUUUGCCAGACUCCCACUGCCAUUGGUCUCAAUGCAGCUGAGGCAGCAUGCCCAAGGGAUGUGCUGCCACUGCUCUGCUUCCCUUGGCUCAGCGCCUGCUUUCUGCUAUUACUUUUGACUAUUACUUUAAACGGAGAUGGGAUAAGUUUUCGCCAAUCAUAACUAAGAUAUGCUUGACUAGAGUCACUCAAGCUCCACCUAAAAGAUAGAAAAUAAUAUAAAUUGGCCUAAGAGAGAGGGGAUGUUGGGGAAGAUACCGCUGUCAGAGGAGAUACCACCCCAAGGGAAUACACCAUCCUGAGGACCUCCUGACUCCUGGGAUCAGUUGAUGGGCUGAUCUUCUCUUCCACCCUCUGCCCCCAUUGGGAGGCCUUUGGGUGAGAUUUGAACACUUGGUUAUACUGGGUGUCUCCACAGAAACUUUGUAAUCUCUAUAGAGUCUUUGUACCUUUUAACGCAUUAAUUUCCAGGCUGCUCACCUGUGUCACCUACAUGUAUGUCACCUGUAUAUUUCAUGCAUGCUAGCUUGCUUUUGCAGACAGUAACUAUGGCUGGCAAUCCAAAGAACCUGUGUACCUGUUGCUGUAAUAAAUCGCACUUGAAUGCAUUGUUCCUACCCA